rnacentral:rRNA from 1 species
AGCGAACGCUGGCGGCAGGCUUAACACAUGCAAGUCGAACGAGAAACUAGACUUCGGGUUUAGUGGAAAGUGGCAGACGGGUGAGUAACGCGUGGGAAUCUACCUUUGAGUGGGGAAUAACAACUAGAAAUGGUUGCUAAUACCGCAUACACCCUCCCGGGGGAAAGGCUUCGGCCGCUCUUAGAUGAGCCCGCGUACGAUUAGUUUGUUGGUAAGGUAAAGGCUUACCAAGACUACGAUCGUUAGCUGGUUUGAGAGGAUGAUCAGCCACACUGGGACUGAGACACGGCCCAGACUCCUACGGGAGGCAGCAGUGGGGAAUAUUGGACAAUGGGCGAAAGCCUGAUCCAGCCAUGCCGCGUGAGUGAAGAAGGCCUUAGGGUUGUAAAACUCUUUCGGCAGGGAAGAUAAUGACGGUACCUGCAGAAGAAGCUCCGGCUAACUCCGUG